rnacentral:rRNA from 1 species
UACAGAGGGUGCGAACGUUGCUCGGAAUUACUGGGCGUAAAGCGCAUGUAGGCGGAUCCAUAAGUCGGGCGUGAAAUCCCCAGGCUCAACCUGGGAACUGCGCUCGAAACUGUGGGUCUCGAGUGUCGGAGAGGAUGGCGGAAUUCCUGGUGUAGAGGUGAAAUUCGUAGAUAUUUGGAGGAAUACCGGUGGCGAAGGCGGCCUUCUGGACCAUUUCUGACGCUGAGACGCGAAAGCGUGGGGAGCAAACAGG